GGCGCCCGCCCACCUCAGGCCCCGCCUCCACGCUUCCGGGGCCUCCUUGCCUUCCGGAUUCCGCAGCGCGCCGGAGAUGCGUCAUCUCCUAAGGCCUCCAAUCGUAGUUUCUUUUUCCUGAGCUGGUUGGGCAAGUGAGAGUGUCAGGUGCAUUAUUGUUAGCGACUGCACUUUUGGUCUUGGUUUGGAAACCAAACCGCCGAGCUAGUUUUCACUGAUGCCGCCAACAGUUAUAUGGAUGGGCACGUUCUCAGUUCAGUCCAGUCGCUGAGUCGUAUCCAACUCUUUGCGACCCCUAUGGACAGCACAGCCAGGCUUCCCUGUCCAUCACCAACUCCUAGAACUUGCUUAAACUCAUGGCCAUACAGUCGGUGAUGCUAGCCAACCAUUUCAUCCUCUGUCGCCCCCUUUCUCCUCCUGCUUUCAAACUUUCCCAGCACCAGGGUCUUUUCCAAUGAGUCAGUUCUCAUCAGGUGGCCAAAGUAUUGGAGCUUCAGCAUCCGUCCUUCCCACAAAUAUUUAGGACUGAUUUCCCUUAGGAUUCGCUGAUUUGAUCGUUCCAAUAUGGAAGUAUCUCCUGAUUCUGAAAUCCCUAAAUGGGAACUAUAACUACCAUAUUUUGUUCCUAUUCAGAAUCUGAAGCUGACAAGAGCUUACCUGGGCUGUGGGAUUCAUGGGAGGACAUACAGGUCCCUGUUCCAGUUCAGAGCUACUUGAUGGUACCAACACGUUGAAUAUGAACUGAUUACUUUGCUGGCCAAACACUCGGCUUUCUUUGCCCACUGAAGCCAAAUAAAAAAUACAGAGACAGAGUUUGAAAGAAACAGAAAAAUGGCUUUAAUGCUCAGCCAUUAAAGAGGAGCUUGUGUUCUUCCUCUUGCUUUGUUUCAAAAUCAGUCAUAGGCUGGUGUCAGUAACCCAGUAAUCGAGUCUGACAAUUUGUGGCUCUGUGGCCUUCUUUCUGAUAUGUAAGAAAGAAGAACUACAAGGGGAAGAGUGUGCUAUAAAGAUGAGCACCAGAUACAGUUUGUAUUUAGCAUACAGUCAAAGGAUAAUAUGUGCAAAAUGUAGCUCCUGCAGAGUUAGGGGGCAGGAAAGCAAACUUACAGGCAUGAAGAGUUAGGAUCAGUUAAAGUAAGAAAAGAAAGAAUAUUUAGGCCUGCUCACUGUUCUAUCUUCAUUAUUCUCAGGAGAGGAAACAAAAAACUUAUUUCAUCUCUUUUUUUUUCCACUGAAACAAUUACUCAAAGUCUCAGAUCCUCUUUAGAUAAAAUGCUGAUGUGCAGAGACCAGGUAACACUAAUGGUUGUGAUUCCAUAAAUGCUAUUGUUAUGAUUACUGGCUGGAAAGGACCUUGUGAGAUAUUACAUCCUAGUUUGCAGAUGCCAACCCAAGUUUCAAAAGCCGGAGUAAUAAACCUGAAGUCUCCAGCUCUCUGAGUGCGGUGCUUGGUUUCUUGAGCACUGGUUUCUGAAACAUUUCUGGAGGCCCCAGCGAGAUUCCAACCAUGCUGGCCCCUUGAGCCGCAGGACUGGUGGCUCAGCAGAGGAGCCCCAAGAUGAACGAGGAGGCACGCCACCUGACGGUAUUCUGGGUUCUCUUUUGGAUCGGCAUUCUGACUCUCCGGAGGGCUGAGCCCCGACCAGACUCACUAGAGGACCCGACCAACUCACCAGGAUUGGCCACAGGAAAAGAGGCCUCUGCAGGACACAGAAGACAGCCUGCCCAGGGACGGUGGGAGCUCCUGGUGACCAGGCACGGGACGUGAGAGGGAAGGACCAGGCUGAGGGGGGCCUUUCUGCUCUGAGCUGGGAGUGGACAAGCCAGUGGAGAGAAUUCUGAAAAAGAUACACACAGUGCUUUAGGGUCAAUUCUUACAGACGUUGCGUGGACUGCAGGAUAGCUACACUUCUGUCUGAAAGCAUAAAGCACCUCGGGAGAAGCGGUGAACCUCGCGCCCAGAGUGAAGUGCUGGCACGAGGCCGGAUGACAACUUUUACACUAACUUGUACACAGACAAUCUCCUCCUUCCCCGACUGAUCUUCUAGAUAGAAGGACGCCAGGUCCCUGGGGCACUAAGCAAAGAGUUCAGAGUCCGCUGGAGAGGCAGC